CUACGGGGUGCAGCAAUGGGGAAUAUUGCGCAAUGGGCGAAAGCCUGACGCAGCGACGCCGCGUGAGUGAUGACGCCUUUCGGGGUGUAAAGCUCAGUCGAGAGGAAAGAUUAUGACGGUACCUCUAGAGGAAGUCACGGCUAAUUACGUGCCAGCAGCCGCGGUAAUACGUAAGUGGCAAGCGUUAUCCGGAUUUACUGGGCAUAAAGCGCGUGCAGGUGGUAGUUUAAGUCAGAUGUUAAAGAUCACAGCUCAACUGUGGUACGCAUUUGAUACUGAAUUACUAGAGAUCAGGAGAGGAAAGUGGAACUCACGGUGUAGCGGUGAAAUGCGUAGAUAUCGUGAGGAACACCAGUGGCGAAGGCGACUUUCUGGCCUGAAUCUGACGCUGAGACGCGAAAGCGUGGGGAGCGAACGGGAUUAGAUACCCGUGUAGUC
rnacentral:rRNA from 1 species